CCUCGCAAGGACUCCACCUUUUAGAGCUAAUUCACCGAGAGAAAAUGAGUGGAGAAGGAAAGGUGGUCUGUGUGACAGUAGGGUCUGGUUACAUAGCAUCCUGGCUAAUCAAAUUCUUGCUUCAAAGAGGCUACACUGUCAAAGCCACUGUUCGUGACCCAAGUAGAACUGGUUGAUCCUGCAGUGAAGGGAACACUUAAUGUUCUUAGAUCUUGUGUGAAAGUGCCUUCUAUCAAGAGAGUGAUUGUAACAUCUUCAUUUGCCGCUGUUCCUUACAGUGGAAAAACUCUCGCCCCUGAUGUAAUUGUUGAUGAGACUUGGUUUUCUAACCCAGCUGUUUGUGUGGAACGGAAGGAGCUCAAGAGUAUCCUGAUGCAUAUUAUAGAUAUGUUGAUGUAAGAGAUGUUGCAUAUGCACAUAUUCAAGCUUUGGAGAUUCCUUCAGCUUAGUGGCAGAUAUUGUUUAAUUGAGAGAGAUCUUCACUUCUCUGAGGUUCUGGAAGAUUGUGCAUCAACAUUAUCCUACAUUGCAACUUCCAGAAAAGAGUGGCCCUGGAUUGAAUUACUUAACAAAGUAUGGGAUAUCAAAGGAAAAAGCGAAAACUUUGGGUAUUGACUCCAUUCCUUUGGAGGUGAGUUUGAAGGACACUAUUAAAAGCUUGAAGAAGAAGGGCUUCCUUAGCAUUUGAUUUUGGCUGUUGGAUGGAAAGCAAGGAAAAUAUUACAUUGAACUUUCGGCUUCAUUGUCUUUAGCUCCCUACUGCAGCAAGAAAUUGUUGCUCUUCAAGAUUGUCUUCAUUUGAAAUAAGUGGACCAACACAUUUAAAAAUAAAUAUUAAUGUUUGUAUAUAUUGUGUAAAAUAAAUAAUAUUUCAUGUGUCA